AGGGGAAUUUUGGACAAUGGGCGCAAGCCUGAUCCAGCAAUGCCGUGUGCAGGGUGAAGGCCUUCGGGUUGUAAACUGCUUUUGUACGGAGCGAAAAGGUCUGCCCUAAUACGGUGGGCUCAUGACGGUACCGUAAGAAUAAGCACCGGCUAACUACGUGCCAGCAGCCGCGGUAAUACGUAGGGUGCGCGCGGUAAUCGGAAUUACUGGGCGUAAAGCGUGCGCAGGCGGUUAUAUAAGACAGAUGUGAAAUCCCCGGGCUCAACCUGGGACCUGCAUUUGUGACUGUAUAGCUAGAGUACGGUAGAGGGGGAUGGAAUUCCGCGUGUAGCAAUGAAAUGCGUAGAUAUGCGGAGGAACACCGAUGGCGAAGGCAAUCCCCUGGACCUGUACUGACGCUCAUGCACGAAAGCGUGGGGAGCAAACA
rnacentral:rRNA from 1 species